UGGGCUCACUAGUGCUACCUGUCGUUAAGGUGUUGCUGCUGUGGGGUGGUGUAAGAACCCCCUGACCGUCGUUUACACCUGAUCUGUAGGCCUGGGUAGAGCAUCCCGUUGGGUCUGGCUACAACGGGGAUACGUGCCGGAAUCCCUAAACCCGCUCUGUUGCGCCCUCAGGUCGGAGACGCGUUCAACAGCGCGUCGUGGGGUAGGCUAUUCCAUUGGGGGUGGGGGACACCACCGUUUUUCCCAUGUGUUUUUGUUUGUUUUUAUAAUCCAAUGUAAUGCGAGCUCUUCGGUAAGGCAGGUUGUAGGGUUUGUGAAAGUGGUCGUGCUGGCUGAUAUGGUAACUUCCCUGGUGGAACAUUAGUGGCCUCUGAUUGGCUAACUUUACGCACGGUUACAUUGUGAAUACGUUUGUGUGCCGUGGUACCUGUUUAUAUUGGUUUGCUGUGUAUUUAAAGUCACUUUUUCAUCUUUUGGUUUGAUUUGCGUUACUUUUGAUUUGCUGUACUUUUAUCUUUCACAAUGUAGCGGAGUGCGUCUUUUUCAUAAUAUAUUGGCUGUCUCAGCCUGACACUGAUGUCUACCUAAUUCAACUAUGCAGCCUGUGAUGUAAACUGAUGUUACAGUUUGUGAAACUGCGUUAUCAAUCCACACCUGUCCUUUUGAAAGUGCGCAUUUAAAGCAUUGAUUGAGAAAAGAAAAUAGAAAAUAAAGAAAAGUAUAUGUGUCAACAGCUGUGUCCUCAUCGAUCAUCUAGAACCUGUC